rnacentral:misc_RNA from 1 species
UUCAUUCAUUAUCCAACUCAUUCCCAGAUGGUAGCUCAAAUCUGUUUUUCUUGCUUUCAUUAACUGGCAUAUCAUCCUCAGCAUCAUCCAUGGCGGAUUCCUUCUUGAAAUAAUCUACCUUGAAGUCAUAAUCACUAUCCAUCAUAUCACUAGUAGUAGAGGCUCUGUCUUUCUUCCUCCUUUUCUUCUCAGCUUUCUUCUGUUUAGUGUUCAACAUGCCUUCCUCACCGUAUAACUUCUCAUUUUGUCUACUACUAGCACUUUUGCCUCUUGUCUGGGCUCCAUCACCUUCUCCCGAGUCCAUUGGCUCAUCUCUGUUCUCACUAACAAGGUUUUCUGUGGCAUUAUCGCUUUCAACUAAUGGCUGCUGCAAAUUGUCCUCAAGCAUGUUAUCAUCAAAGUUAAUGGGCCGAUUUGAUGGAACUUCAACUGGGUUGAAAUCGUUGACAGAUUUCAGGCUUCCAAUAAUAGAGGAUUCACUUCCAUAAACUUCAUCGAUAUUGAAUUCUUUCCCAAAUUCUGAAACUAUCUUGACCUCUAAAUGCUCCCCCUCAUUCCUGGUUGGGGGCAGGGUGUAGUAUGGAACUUUCCCCUCAUUCCAGUCGUGCAGAACGAUCCUUGCAGCUGCAUCAGUAUCAACGAUUCCUCCCUUUUUGAGCUUACCUCUAACCAUAGCAACUUUCUGAAGAAAGUCAUCCACAGAAUCGAAGGUAGGAAUCUUGUAUAUGGUAACCAACAUUCUUUCUGGACAAAGUUUGAGAAUCUCCUUUACAGGACCAAUUGGGUCAUCUAACUUCUCUAUCCUCUUGCAAUUUCGAAGAGCAAUAGAUGCAUCAUCCUCAGAUGCAGACCUAAGCAUCACAACACCGGGGCAGUCCAGCAAUUUAACAUUCUUAUCUAACUGGACUUCUUGCAGGGAUCUUGUUAAUCCUGGAGUAGCACCUACAUUGACUACAUGAGAUCUCUUCAAGCUAUUAAUCAGGCUACUUUUACCAACAUUUGGUAGACCAAUGACUCCUACAGUGAUUGAUUUCUUGAUCUCGUGGCUUCGUGAGUAAUUCUUCAGCAAUUUUAUCAGUGUCUCGGCGCCAAGGCAAUCACUGGUUUGCAGAAGAUUGCUAGUCUUACUCUUACCAGCCUUUGAGGAAGGCUUCCAACCCAGGUUUGACUUCUGCUCUUGGGUGCUACACUUGAAAGCAACCGUUGGUAAUUCCUCUCUUAAAUACUUUAGCCACUUUUCUGCAGCUUCCCGAGGAACGAGAUCAAUUUUAUUAAGGAGUAACACAAGAUGUUUCUCAGGUCCUGCUCUCAUCACCAUCUUUUCCAUGUCAAGACAGCGGGUACCAAGAGGAUCUCGAGCAUCAAGCACUUCCAAAAUUACAUCCGAAGCAUCAAUUACUUUGACCAACUCCUUGUAGAAAGCCCUUUCAGAGUUAUCUCGUUGUUUAACAAAAGAAGCUGAGCCAUCAUUUACCCUUCCACCUCCAACUUCUUUUUCUUUUGUUGAAGUCAAACCUUCCAGUUUGGACACAUCAUCAUCCUCAAGUAAUCCAAGCUUUCUCUUCUUAGCCCUCUCUUUACGGGCAGCUUUCUUCUGCUCCAAUUCAUCGAGAGCACGAGCACGACGAGCCUCAAGAGCCUUGAGUUCUUGCUCCUUAAAAGGCCAAUCAUUAGGAAUUCCUGGAUCUUUCUCUACCUUAGGUUUCUUAUUAAGUCCAAGCUUUUUUGCCUCUUUGGCCUUCUUCUUAUGGUGCUCCUUCACUUUCCUUAUAAUCUUAUGCUUCUGCUUCAAAGACACCCUCUUACUCUUACUCUUUUUGCUUUUCUUCACCAUUUUUGCUUUGUCGAUAAGCUCUCUCUCUCUCACUGCUCUUUCA